rnacentral:rRNA from 1 species
AUUGAACGCUGGCGGCAUGCCUUACACAUGCAAGUCGAACGGCAGCAUGAUCUAGCUUGCUAGAUUGAUGGCGAGUGGCGAACGGGUGAGUCAUACAUCGGAACGUGUCCUGUAGUGGGGGAUAACUAGUCGAAAGAUUAGCUAAUACCGCAUACGACCUGAGGGUGAAAGUGGGGGACAGCAAGGCCUCAUGCUAUAGGAGCGGCCGAUGUCUGAUUAGCUAGUUGGUGAGGUAAGGGCACACCAAGGCGACGAUCAGUAGCUGGUCUGAGAGGACGAUCAGCCGCACUGGAACUGAGACACGGCCCAUACUCCUACGGGAGGCAGCAGUGGGGAAUUUUGGACAAUGGUCGAAAGCCUGAUCCAGCAAUGCCGCGUGUGUGAAGAAGGCCUUCGGGUUGUAAAGCACUUUUGUCCGGAAAGAAAUGGCUCUGGUUAAUACCUGGGGUCGAUGACGGUACCGGAAGAAUAAGCACCGGCUAACUACGUG